rnacentral:rRNA from 1 species
GGACAGAAAGACCCUAUGAAGCUUUACUGUAACUUGGAAUUGGAUUUGGGCUUUUCUUGCGCAGCAUAGGUGGGAGGCAUUGAAAUCAGGUUUGCGGACCUGGUGGAGCCAUCAAUGAGAUACCACUCUGGGAAAGCUAAAAUUCUAACUUUGAGCCGUCACCCGGCCAAAGAACAGUUUCAGGUGGGCAGUUUGACUGGGGCGGUCGCCUCCUAAAAAGUAACGGAGGCGUGCAAAGGUUUCCUCAGACUGGUCGGAAAUCAGUCGUAGAGUGUAAAGGCAUAAGGAAGCUUGACUGCAAGACCUACAAGUCGAGCAGAGACGAAAGUCGGCCUUAGUGAUCCGACAGUGCCGAGUGGAAGGGCUGUCGCUCAACGGAUAAAAGUUACUCUAGGGAUAACAGGCUGA